UCGAGAAUGGGGGCUGUUUUUCUACACAAAAUGUUCCUUUUCGUUUGAAUUCCCAGAUAACAUUUAAAACUUUAUUGUAUAUGCAGGAAAUACGUGAUGAGCAACAUUGUUUUUUAUGAACAGCAUCGAGUUAAAGGCUUUAUCAAGCACUACAACAUUGUUUCUCUGGGAGAAAUAUUUAAACAAAAAACUCAUUCGACCAAAUCGUCAUAAAAACAUGCGUUAAUUUUUUAUAGUUUGAAACUAUCGCUAGUCUAUAGUCUUAAAUAGCUGUCAGAGUAUGUUAGAAAUUAUUCGUCUGCAGCUGGUGAUUUGAGAGGCAGUAAAGGAUGGAAAACAUUUGUUUUUUGAAUGAUUUUCGGAAUGAACUCAUACGUUAUAGUUAUAAAGUUCAACUACACGUCGAUGAAGGAAGUUUGUAAAAUGACAGAUCCAUGUAGAAAUGGUAGUCCUGAGUUUUCAGACUUCUGCUUUGAAAAACUUGCAUCAUUAACACUUAAAAAAGUCCUGUGUUUGUAUAAAGCUGCUCCAUAAUGGUGUGACUGACUUUGUCCCUUAAACAACAAGUGUGCCACAAGCAAAAAAAUGCAGUUUUUAGAGCUUUUGAUAUCAAGAAGCUCUUUUAGAAAGAUGCCUUUUGACGAAGAUAAUUGAAAUAUGUCACAUUUAAAAACGUAGUUGAAUAAAAUUAUAUUUAUAUUUCUCUUCGUAUUUCUACUACAAUAUCUAACAUUCACAAUAUUUACAUUAUAUAAUUUGAACAUACGCAUAUUAACAUAGUAGAUGCUAUUAUAUCAUAGUUUUCCAAGCAACAGACUGAAUAGAGGUUAUUUUAUUAAUUUGCAAAAUUUUCGGCUUACUCAAUUAAAUCUACAAAUAUCCGUAAAAAUUGUAAAAUAUAUUAAAAUAUAACAGGAUAUUUCAUUUAA